UACAUCUUGGUGUAUAGUGCACUCUGGUUUUUGAUGCUUGGCGGGGGUGGUUCAAUUCCAUCUGGUGUAA
rnacentral:tRNA from 1 species